GAGGUUUCCGGGGCUUGAAGUUGAGAGGAGCGCCGGCCGUUGAGGGCUGCGUGAACCCAGGGAGUUUCCCUCCCUUUUUUAAUUUUGCGAUUCUGUUCUGAUUUAUUGGAUUAAAAAGUAGCCUUCAUAUUGUCUUGACUGCUCCUGGCGUGGCUUUUCCCAGCACAGUGAUGUUCAAUUCUCACUGUAACAAUCGCAGAUGUGGUGAAAGUUGAGGAUAGUUUGGAGUCUGACAGAAAUUGGGGAAAGCAGCUCCUAUGCAAUAUAUUCCUUCAAGAUUAAAAGACAACAUUUCGUGAGAUUGCUUACCUUGGGAAGUAAGUGCCAUGUCAUGAGGUAUCCCUCUGGAGAGGUCCAAGUGACGGGUGACUGAGACCUGCCAACGACUAUGUGAGUGAGCUUGGAAGAAGAUUCUCCACCUCCAGUCAAACUCACAGCUGACUGCAGCCCUAGCUGACAACUCCGCUGCAACAGCAUGACAGGCCUUGCAUGAGAGUCCUGGAACUAAGUGACAUGAAUUCCUGACUCACAGAGUCUAUAAGUGUCUACCACCACCUUGCCACCUAAAGAGGUUGGAGUCAGUAGAACAAUGAUUCUUGUUCACUGUGAAGAACCCUGAGGUGAGAAGCAAAAACAAUCUCAAAGAGCCUACCGAAGGAUCAAGUUUGCAAGCUGCAGGAAGAAGGCAUGAGAUAACAGACUGGCUGCACUGUACAUUUAGGAUAAGAGAUUCAAAUAACUUUUUAUCCUUACAUCUUCCCAAACACAGAUAGCACUGGCAAAAUUAACUGUAAGAUCAAGGGUUUUUUUUGAAGUUAUAAACAGUGCUUUUCCUUUGUCAGUUAAACAAGUCUGUUAGUAACCAACCUUUAUUUAACUGAAAAUAUUAUAAUUAGUUAUCUUCUUUCUUUUUGCUAAAUUUUCCCCCCUGUAUUCUUUCUGUAUAUGUAAUUUACCUAUAUAAACCCAGGCCAAACGUCUCCAAAGAAGGCGUGAAAUCUGCUAUUGGUUUCUCAAGCCCAGGUCCUCAUUUUGGCUCUUGAAUAAAUUUUUCAUUUACCAAACUUUUAAUUCACUUCACAGUGGUGAUUAUUUCAGUAGACAGCUUAAAUUCAGUUUCCAAGAUCCUACUAGACAUCCCCUGAGGAUUUACUCUGUAAAGGAAAAGAAUUAGAAAAGAGACUCUUCUU